GACGAACGCUGGCGGCGUGCCUAAUACAUGCAAGUUGAGCGAUGAAGAUUGGUGCUUGCACCAAUUUGAAGAGCAGCGAACGGGUGAGUAACGCGUGGGGAAUCUGCCUUUGAGCGGGGGACAACAUUUGGAAACGAAUGCUAAUACCGCAUAACAACUUUAAACAUAAGUUUUAAGUUUGAAAGAUGCAAUUGCAUCACUCAAAGAUGAUCCCGCGUUGUAUUAGCUAGUUGGUGAGGUAAAGGCUCACCAAGGCGAUGAUACAUAGCCGACCUGAGAGGGUGAUCGGCCACAUUGGGACUGAGACACGGCCCAAACUCCUACGGGAGGCAGCAGUAGGGAAUCUUCGGCAAAGGACGAAAGUCUGACCGAGCAACGCCGCGUGAGUGAAGAAGGUUUUCGGAUCGUAAAACUCUGUUGGUAGAGAAGAACGUUGGUGAGAGUGGAAAGCUCAUCAAGUGACGGUAACGACCCAGAAAGGGACGGCUAACUACGU
rnacentral:rRNA from 1 species